AGUGAACGCUGGCGGUAGGCCUAACACAUGCAAGUCGAACGGCAGCACAGUAAGAGCUUGCUCUUACGGGUGGCGAGUGGCGGACGGGUGAGGAAUACAUCGGAAUCUACUUUUUCGUGGGGGAUAACGUAGGGAAACUUACGCUAAUACCGCAUACGACCUACGGGUGAAAGCAGGGGAUCUUCUGACCUUGCGCGAUUGAAUGAGCCGAUGUCGGAUUAGCUAGUUGGCGGGGUAAAGGGCCACCAAGGCGACGAUCCGUAGCUGGUCUGAGAGGAUGAUCAGCCACACUGGCACUGAGACACGGUCCAGACUCCUACGGGAGGCAGCAGUGGGGAAUAUUGGACAAUGGGCGAAAGCCUGAUCCAGCCAUACCGCGUGGGUGAAGAAGGCCUUCGGGUUGUAAAGCCCUUUUGUUGGGAAAGAAAAGCAGCAGGUUAAUCCCCCGCUGUUCUGACGGUACCCAAAGAAUAAGCACCGGCUAACUUCGUG
rnacentral:rRNA from 1 species